UACGGAGGGUGCGAGCGUUGUCCGGAAUCACUGGGCGUAAAGGGCGCGUAGGCGGCGCGGAAAGUCAGCGGUGAAAGCUUGGGGCUCAACCCCGAGUCGGCCGUCGAUACUUCCGUGCUCGAGCACUGUAGAGGCAGGUGGAAUUUCGGGUGUAGCGGUGGAAUGCGUAGAGAUCCGAAAGAACACCGGUGGCGAAGGCGGCCUGCUGGGCAGUUGCUGACGCUGAUGCGCGACAGCGUGGGGAGCAAACAGG
rnacentral:rRNA from 1 species